rnacentral:rRNA from 1 species
AUUGAACGCUGGCGGCAGGCCUAACACAUGCAAGUCGAGCGGAUGACGGGAGCUUGCUCCUUGAUUCAGCGGCGGACGGGUGAGUAAUGCCUAGGAAUCUGCCUGGUAGUGGGGGACAACGUGUCGAAAGGAACGCUAAUACCGCAUACGUCCUACGGGAGAAAGCAGGGGACCUUCGGGCCUUGCGCUAUCAGAUGAGCCUAGGUCGGAUUAGCUAGUUGGUGGGGUAAUGGCUCACCAAGGCGACGAUCCGUAACUGGUCUGAGAGGAUGAUCAAUCACACUGGAACUGAGACACGGUCCAGACUCCUACGGGAGGCAGCAGUGGGGAAUAUUGGACAAUGGGCGAAAGCCUGAUCCAGCCAUGCCGCGUGUGUGAAGAAGGUCUUCGGAUUGUAAAGCACUUUAAGUUGGGAGGAAGGGCAGUAAGCUAAUACCUUGCUGUUUUGACGUUACCGACAGAAUAAGCACCGGCUAACUCUGUGCCAGCCGCCGCCGUAA